rnacentral:rRNA from 1 species
GUUUCCGUAGGUGAACCUGCGGAAGGAUCAUUGAUGUUCCUUAGACAUGACCGCGAACACUCGUAAAAAAUGUGAAGGCGCCGGGGUAUGGUUGUCGGUUGUUUCGGCGCAUCCGUGUUGGUUGUGUCAAUCAUCCGCCAAUUCACUUAUCCUCGACCUUCCAACACCGACGGUUACUCCCUUGUGAUGAGGGAUGUGUCUAACCGGAAUGGUGGCUGAACAACCAAGAGACGCAGAUUUGCGUCAAGGAACCUGAAAAACGACAACGCCUGGCAUGAAUCGGUGUUUUCGAAUUUAAUCUGGCGCGGUUGGCGCUGGUAAUGAACGACUCACGGCAACGGAUAUCUCGGCUCUCGCAUCGAUGAAGAACGUAGCGAAGUGCGAUACUUGGUGUGAAUUGCAGAAUCCCGCGAACCAUCGAGUUUUUGAACGCAAGUUGCGCCCAAAGCUUUCCGCCAAGGGCAUGCCUGCCUGGGCGUCACGCAUCAUGUCUCUCUCCAUCAAACAUACAUCGCUCGAAGUUUGAUGGUUGAGGAAAUGGCCUCCCGUUUUCUUCGUAGAUCGGCCGGUCGAAAAUGGAUUUUCCCUUGUCAUUGGGUUCCAGGAACAUUGGUGGUUGCGUUGUUCGACAAAUCGACCUUGUUUUUCCUGAGCCGGGCAUGGGUAUUUCUAAUAUGGUUCCCCUAUUGGCGCAUGUUGUAUGCCUCAGGAAGCGACCCCAGGUCAGGCGGGAUCACCCGCUGAGUUUAAGCAUAUCAA